rnacentral:misc_RNA from 1 species
CGCAUCUUUCUACACACGCACCACACGCCACCAUUUUACAGGUCCAACAUCCUGAGAUGUCCCACCCCACCAGUAUGCGGGGCGAUGGCGCACAGCGGCCAUGCAGCCAUGCCCGGUCCACCACCAAGGACGCUCACCGCACUCAAAACAGAGAAGUGCCGCCGUCGCGCUCGCAGCCGCGCCGCUCCGGAUGUCUUGGCGUGCUCCAGGCCAUCCGUGACGGCGUCAUCAAAGCGGUGUACGUGAUCGUUCCGCCUGGCGGCAUUCUCUCCGGCGCCUUCAACAUGGCGAGUGCAUCCAUCGGCGCCGGCAUCCUUGGCCUGCCGGCGGCGACCGACUCAGCAGGCAUCAUCCUCGCCAUGAUCUUCCUCGCCGUCAUCACGUACUUCUCCGUCUUCUCCAUGUACAUCCUGGCACUCGCAUCGGAGAACACGCGCAUCAAGACCUUCGAGGGCUUGGCGCGCUGGCUCUUCCCGGCGAGAAGGUACGCCUUCUCCUACUGGGCCGCGUUCAUCCGCUUUUUCCACGGCUUUUCUAGCUGCGUCGCCUACAUCAUCAGCGUGGGCAACUGCCUUGGUCCCAUCUUCACCGGCGCCGCAAAGCAGCACCCCGACAACAGAGCCAUCCAGUUCCUCGCCACCACGCAGGGCAACCGCGUGCUCACAGUCAUCGUUUGGCUCUUCGUGAUGCUGCCGCUGGUUAUUCCGAAACACAUCGACUCACUGCGCUACGCCUCCGCCAUCGCGGUGACGUUCAUGGUGUACUUUGUCUUCGUGGUUGUCGCACACAGCUGCCGUAACGGGCUGGCGGAAACGUCCAAGCACGUGAAGCUGUCCGGCAACCAGGCGGAUGACGGCAAGCUGGAGCACAACACCGUCUUUCUUUUUCGCACCGGCAACUCCGUAAUCCACUCCGUCGGCAUCUUUGUUUUCGCGUACGUGUGCCAAGUAAACGCGCAGGAGGUUCUGUGGGAUUUGCGGCCCGAGAUUCGCACGACGAAGAGCUUCACGCUGUCGGCGUUCAUUGGGAUGAUGCUGUGCGGCACGCUGUACGUGCUGGUAAGCGUGUUCGGGUACUUCGACUUUGGCAGCAAGAACCUGCUCGGCAAGUCGCUGCUGCUCAUGUUCAACCCGCUCGAGGAGGCCGACAUCAUGAUUGCCUACGUUGCCGUCAUGAUCAAGGUAUGUGUCGCCUACGCGCUACUCACCAUUGCGGCGCGCAACUCCCUGUACUACCUGAUCGGCUUCCAGCACCGCUACCGCAACCGCACCGAGGCUGGCGGCGCGGAGGAGCUCGGCUUUGUCGCUGGCGGCGCCGACGCCACCGUCCAGCAGACCGCGAAUCCGCCCGCGGCGGUGGCCGACAGCGACGCUGUCCAGUCCUGCAAGCUCGACGGGGUGGACAACAGCCACGGCAUGGAGGGGACAACGAAAGGCCGCAAUCCCUCCCAAACCGUCGAUGAGGACUACGAAGCAGGUGAGGGCGUGGACGAGGAGUACGUGGACGGGACCGCGGAGGACACGACGUACGUGGACAACAUCCCGUUCUGGCAGCACCUGCUGGUCGUGCUUGUGCUCUCCGUCGCGUCGCUGCUGUGUGGCCUGUUCAUCCCGAACAUCAGCACCGUCUUCGGCUUCGCCGGCUCGAUCAGCGGCGGCUUCAUCGCCUUUAUCUUCCCCGCGCUCUUUGUCAUGUACUCGGGCAACUUCACGGUGGCGCAGGUGGGAUGGUUCACGUACCUGAACACGUACCUGCUGCUGAUCUGCGGUGUUGUCGGCAUUGUCUUCGGCACCGGCGGCACCAUCUACGAAACUGUUUGAGCGAGGAUGCGCCAUUUUUGCGGCCUCUCUUCAUGCGUUCUCCCGAGGCAUGGACGGCGAAGACGCUCUCGUGUGCGCGCAUCAAAAGAGAAGACGUGAAAAGGGACUGCUAGCGCCCUCCACUUGCAGCUGUUCCAGCUGGCCUGCAGUGGUGCGUGAACGGCUCGGGGCGUGUGUGUCGCUCUUCUUCGCGUGUAGAAGAGGGUACUGAAAGCUCACGGUCGGAGUGUGAAUGUCUGCACGCCUCUGUGCACGCACGCCGACUGUCAGCAGACAGGCAUAGAGAAAUAAAAACGUUUUGUUUUCUGCGACCAUUUUCUUCUGUGCGUGAGGUAACCACUAUCGAUCACGCGGCGAGGUUUUCGAUCCCUUUUUGUUUCGUUUUCAGAAAGCUGCUGCGGUCGUGCUCGGCGUCUGGCGACGGCGUGUAGGCCAGCGGAGAUGUACGCACGGGUGAAGUGCAGAGGACCGAUUCCUGAGUGCCCCUGGUCCCCCCCUCAGUCUGCAAGUGCUUGGACCUCUAGCAGGUCUGGUUAGUGCAUGUGGGCGUGUGCGCACGUGGCUUGAGGGGUGAGGAGGGGGAAGGCCAUGCACUCAGAGAUCCACCCUUUGCCUUCCAACCCUCCGCCUCCGCUUGUCUUGUCUCCCCGUCCUCAUGUGCCCCUCUCGACGCCAUAAUGCUGACCGUGUCGAUUUUGUUUUCCCCUUUCCGCAUUAUACAAAAGUAAAUCGCCUAAUGUGCGUGCGUGUUGUGGUGGCGUCGUGUCUGGUGCGCGUGUAUGUGCACCUCGCUGCGGUUUUUUUUAGCCUUUGGGUCUUUUUGUGUGACGUCUGAUGCGGCAGUCAGUCAUCCUCCGCACAUCCGAAGCUGAGGUGGAUGCCCCUCGCCCGCGCCAUCGUCAGCAUGUGGUUUUUGUUUUCUCUUGCUUCCUCCUCUAAACGUCUUCGUAGCGUUCUGCAUGGCGGAGUUUCGUGAAAACGAUUGAACGCAUACCUUCAAUGAAAGUGUGAAGUAAGAGGGCAGCGGCGCCCUUCGUCGCCGUCUUGGUCUUAACUGUUCUGGAAGGCGGGGAGCGGAGGCCCGACGCGGCUCGAAGCGCCCCUCUCUUCUCUGGGAACCUGAACAUCCCGUCUUCCUAUUUGUUCGUUGACUCUCGAGAGGGCGCGAGUGCAGAUGUGAGCAGGGCGCCUGCGAGUGAGAGAGUGUGUGCGCGUGUUGUGCGCGACAGAAUCGCGCAAGCCCGUCUGUUCUCUUUCCGCACAGAAGCGUCUCCCAGCUACCUCCUCUCCGCACGCCCACGUCCGUGCAGCCCUUCCCCUUGCCUUGGUAUGUUAGGCCUCCUUUCCGCUCACAUGCGCAACGCUUGUCUAAGGGUACCGCGUGUGGAUAUGGAUUCCCGUCGCUGGAGAGCAUUGAGGCACGUGUUCAGACGACCAUGAGCAAGAGGCGAGCAGGCUUCAUUGGGUGAAGUAAGCGGCAGCUUGUGAGUUGGACGCAAGCAACCCGCGGCGCGGUGAAAUUAGAAAGGCUGAAGAGCCUGACCCUUGGUCGUGGCGUGCUCAUUAGCCUCUAAAGGCUUGUGUAU